GUAGGGAAUAUUGGGCAAUGGAGGCAACUCUGACCCAGCCAUGCCGCGUGCAGGAUGACGGCCCUCUGGGUUGUAAACUGCUUUUAUACGGGAAGAAAAAAUACUACGUGUAGUAUACUGACGGUACCGUAAGAAUAAGGAUCGGCUAACUUCGUGCCAGCAGCCGCGGUAAUACGGAGGCUCCAAACGUUGUCCGGAUUUAUUGGGUUUAAAGGGUGCGUAGGCUGAUCUUUAAGUCAGUGGUGAAAGCCUGCAGCUUAACUGUAGAAUUGCCAUUGAAACUGAAGAUCUUGAAUUUGGUUAAAGUAGGCGGAAUGUAUCAUGUAGCGGUGAAAUGCUUAGAUAUGAUACAGAACACCGAUAGCGAAGGCAGCUUGCUGAACCAUUAUUGACGCUGAGGCACGAAAGCGUGGGGAGCGAACAGGAUUAGAUACCCGGUUAGUCC
rnacentral:rRNA from 1 species